rnacentral:rRNA from 1 species
ACCUCCCCCCUCCAAUCGGUGUAGUGGGGUAUUCAGUUAUUUCACUACUCCUUUGGUCGUUUACUGUGAGAAAAUUAGAGUGUUCAAAGCGGGCGUUUGUUUGAAUAGAUUAGCAUGGAAUAAUGAUUGAAGGCUUUCGUGUUCGAUUUGAUUGGUUUGUUCAUGGAAGCAAGGUUAAAAGGAACAGUUGGGGGUAUUCAUAUUCACUAGUUAGAGGUGAAAUUCUCGGAUUUAUGGAAGAUGAACAGGUGCGAAAGCAUUUACCAAGGAUGUUUUCAUUAAUCAAAGAA